rnacentral:lncRNA from 1 species
AACUGUUUGAUUAAUUUUCUGAAAGAAAAUUACGUUUGCUAAAAAAGGGCAAAUUUCAUUUAAACUGUGACCGAACACGCUUUCUGCUCUCUUUGUUUUAAUUCCGCUGCGUUAUACUCUUCGAAAAAUACCCCCUCCGAUACCAACAAUUGGUAUCAGAGCUUUCUUUGAUAGUUUUUCAAAAUAUUUGCGAAUCACCAACCUCAAAUACUUUAUCAACUCUCUUUUGAUCUGCAUAUUUCUUCAUCCUCUCCUGAGCCUUGAGCAAAUUCAACUUUAAUUGAGCCAAAACAGCAUCUCUUUGUUGCAACAUGUCUUGGAUUGAAGGGGGAUCUAUUGAUGAGUAUUGGUACUUGAGAAGUGUAGGUGGAUCUCUGCAUAAACUAUCCUGAAAGGUGUCAUUUGAGUACUGUGAUGAUAUGAGGUGUUAUACCAAUAUUCAGCCCAAGGUAGAAAUUUAAGCCAAGCUUUAGGAGUUUCAUAAGUAAAGCAUCUCAAGUACAUUUCUAAGCAUUUGUUAACCACCUCAGAUUGCCCAUCCGAUUGAGGGUGAUAAGCAAUGCUAAGGUUCAAUGUUGUUCCACUUAGUUUAAGUAGAUGUUUCCAAAAAGAACUAGUGAAGAUCUUGUCCCUAUCUGACACAAUUGAACUUGGAAAUCCAUGCAAUUUUACCAUUGUGGAGAGAAACACUUCUGCCACCUUUUUGCUAUUGAAAUCAGACUUGAGUUGUGCAAAAUGAGCAUACUUGGAUAAUCGAUCAACAAUGACAAAAAUUACCGUAAAUCCCUCAGAUGGUGGUAACCCAACUAUGAAGUCCAUGGUGAUGUCUUCCCAAAUUUGAUGAGGAAUAGAUGAUGGUUGCAGCAAUCCCGCAGGUAAAGUUGAUGAGGUUUUUGCUUGUUGACAAACCCUGCACUGCUGUAUAAAAAUCGUGAUGUCCUUAUGCAUAUUCUUCCAAAAGAACUGAGCAGAAACACUUGCCAUCGUCCUCGCAAUCCCAGAGUGACCGCCUAGAGGGAAGGAAUGGUAUUCACCGAGAAUGUGGUCUUUGAUUGCUUGCUCACUUGGAACUACAAUUCGGUCUUUCCAAUAUAAUAUGCCAUCCAGCCAAGAAUAAUGAGAAUGGAUUAGUUUCCCUUGAGCACAAUCAGUAAUAAUGGGCUGCAACUUUGGAUUUAAAGGUAGGGCAACUUUUAUCUUUGGAAUUAGAUCACUAUGGACUAAGAACAAGCUAUGAAGAAUGACCUUGAAAGUGCAUCAGCAGCUAAAUUUUCCUUCCCGAGUUUAUAUUCAAUUGUGAAAUUAUAGCCCAAAAAUUUGUGCAACCAUGCCUGCUGCUCCAGGGUCUGCAAUGAUUGGUCCACGAGGGCUUUCAAACUCUUUUGAUCAGUGCGAAUUAUGAACUUGUGCCCCAACAGAUAAUGCCUAAACUUAGCAAUGACUUCUGUUAUAGCAUAAAAUUCACGUGUAUAAGCUGAUUGCUUGGCUAAUCUGGUAGAUAAUUUCUUUGAAAAGAAAGCAAUAGGGUGCUUGUCCUGGCUCAAGACUGCACCAAUUCCUGACCCCGAUGCGUCGGUCUCAAGCAUAAAUGGCUUAGAAAAGUCUGGUAAGGAAAGCACUGGUGCAGUGGUAAUGGCGUUUUUCAAUGCCAGAAAUGCAGUAGAUGCGUCAUUUGACCAUUUAAAGUUGUCCUUCUUUAAUAAAUUUGUUAAAGGAUUGACAAUUGUUGCAUAUCCUUUAAUAAACCUUCUAUAAUAGCCUGUAAGACCUAAGAACCCGCAGAGUUGUUUAAUAGUUUUUGGCACCGGCCAUUGCAACACAGCUUGAAUCUUAGUAUCUUCCAUUUGCACUCCUCCUCGACUAGAAACAAUAUGUCCCAAAUAAUCAAUUUGUUCCAGCCCAAAUGAACAUUUAGACAUUUUGGCAUACAACUCAUGAUCCUCAAGAAUUUGCAACACCUGCUGAUGUAAAUGGGUUGACCAUGAUGCACUAUAAACUAGGAUAUCAUCAAAGAACACCAAAAUUGACUUCCUCAAUAGCCCUUGGAAUAUGUCAUUCAUUAAAGUUUGAAAUGUUGCCGGAGCGUUUGUUAACCCGAAUGGCAUCACUAACCACUCAUAAUGGCCUUGAUGAGUUCUAAAGGCUGUUUUGUAUCUGUCUUCUUCAUUCACCAAGAUUUGAUGAUAUCCAGCCCUCAAAUCCAACUUCGAAAAAUACUGAGCGCCAAAUAAUUCAUCCAAAAACUCUUCUACCGUAGGAAUUGGAAAACUGUCCUUCACUGUGAUGCAAUUCAAAGCUCUAUAAUCCAUGCAAAAUCUCCAUGUCCCAUCUUUUUUUUUUACCAAAAUUAUUGGAGAAGAAAAAGGACUCGAACUUGGAACAAUUAUCCCUUCAUCCAACAUCUCUUUCACCAUGAUUUCUAUUUACUGUUUUUGACUGUGGGGAUAUUUAUAGGGUCGGACUUUCACUGUAGCUCUACCCUGGAGCAAGGGAAUUUUAUGAUCUUGAGAUCGUGGAGGAGGCAAUCCCACGAGUUUGGCAAAAAUUCCUUUAUAAGUAUGUAGCAGAUUGGUGGUCCACUGGUCUUGGGUCGUAAAAUUGGAACAUAGUUGCAGAGUGAAUAUUUCAGCAAUACUCUGCGUGUGGCUCAAUCUCUUCAAUUGAUGGAAUUGUGCUACCCUAAUAGGUUGUUAUUUUUCACCAACUAACGUCACCAACUUCUUAUCUUUGUAAAACUUAAUGGUCAAUGAUCUAUAAUAAGCAAUGUGUUGCCCUAAAGUAGCUAGCCAUGCUGCCCCCAAAACCAAAUCAGCACCAGAAACUGAGAGUAAAUAGACAGGUAAGCUGAGAAUCUGGCCCUGCACCUGUACUUGGAGCUCUGAAAUCUUGCCCUCAGUCGAUAAGGAAUUUCCAUUACCAACUAACACUUGAAGACCUGAAGCAGGUUCCACUAGUAACUUAAGAAAUUUGGCUAGAUUAGGUUGCAAGAAAUUAUCACUACUACCACUGUCGAGUAGUAUCUGAACAUCCUUUCCGGCAAUGGUUCCAGUAAACCGCAUUGUACCAGUACCCGCGGAUCCUUUUAGUGCAUUAAAGGAUAAAUGAUGUGCCAAUUCGUCUUCCAAGUUAACCACAACUUCCUCAAGUUCCUAUGCGUCCUUCUCCUCCUCUUCUAGCUGCAUAAUUAAGUAUUGUCGAUUUGGGCACCUAUGCGUGGCAGAGAACUUUUCAUCACAAGUGAAACAUAAGCCUCGCUCUCUUCGGGAUUGCAUUUCAGUAGGGGACAUCUUCUUUAUGGGGUUAUUCUUAAAAGAUGGAGUGGUAGGUUUGGUGUUUGGUGUAACCAAAAUGGGCUGUUGCACAGGGUUAGUGAAUGAUUGCUGGGAAUUGGUAGUACGAUACUGUCUAUGGUAACUCACGUACUGAGGUUUGGUUUUGACACUAUAUUUUUCUUCAAAUAAGCGGGCUAAUGCAAUGGCCUUUAAAAUAGAACUAGGGGUUUGAGCAAUGACCUUACGUUUUAUGUCAGGUUUAAGACCACUUACAAAACGGUCCAAUAGAGCUUCUGCGCUGACGCCAUAAAUUCUAUUAGCAAGGCUAGUAAAUUCAACAUAAUAAUCAUUUACAGAGCCUGUUUGUGUGAGUUUAAAAAGUGUGGCCCUCGGUGAAUCAAACGGAGAAGGACCAAACUCAAGUUCGAGUGACCUGACCAACGUAUUCCAGGAAAUAAUUGGACUGGUUCUCCGCAUCAUUUGAUACCACGGUACUACAUUCUUCUCAAAGUGGACUACUGCAAUCACAAUGCGUUGCUCAUCAGGAGUAUUAUAAUACUCGAAGAACUGCUCUGCACGGAAAAUCCAUUAAAGGACCUCAGAUCCGUCGAAUUUCGAAAAGUCCAGCUUCACGUUCCUCACUUGCAAGGGAUGUGUAAAACCCUGUGAGUCCCCCCCCCCCCCUUGAAUAUUAGCUUUAAAAUCUGCUAAUUAAUUUCUCAACUUUGUCAUCUCACGAGCGUGGUCACGAUCGCGUUUCUCCAAGAUUUCGAGAAUAUGCGAAAGCUCCGGUGAAGGUGUAUUCGUAGUCGCGGUGGAGGUGAUGAAAGCACCAAAUGUAACAGUGGAAAAUAACAGGGAAAUAAACUGUCAACGUAAUAAGGAUGAUUUAUUACGAAAACAAGGUCUGGCUCAGAUUGCACUUCCUAUGAGUUCAAAUGAGAUCAUAGGGAAUCAAUCUAAUUACAAGAAGCUUCAGCAAAACAAAAAUGGAAAGGAAAAAUUCACCAAUACAGUAUCACAACAAUGAAACGAAAAUUCCCAGAGAGAGAAGAAUAAUUUCCCAAUUCAUUGCCUCCCUCUCUCUUACCCACUCUCUGUUAUAUAACUAAUUCCCUUUCCACAGAUACCCUCUCAAACGUGCAUUUGGGUGCCUCACACGUUUCUCCUUUUCUACCAGUCAACUCCUUGAUGUGGUGACACCUGUCCUUGCAUGUUAACAAUUUUCUCGCAUCUUCAAUUUUCUUCUUGACUCUGUUCUCUCUGCAUUUUGCUCUUUAUUUUUGCAAUGUGACCCUCCUCCUCAUUUCUGCUUGUUACAGAGUCCACUACAGCUGC